CAUCACUGGCAGGUCGCGUAUGUUGUCUCAAGGUAGAAAGCAAGCGCGUGGGCGCCAAUAUACGAUGACUCAUUCAAUUUCCCGAGGACACGCACCCUAGCUAAUGAAGCAGACGACAGUCUGCGCGCAUGCAGACGACGGAAGCGAGAAACGAUUUUGAUGGAAUAAUCGUACCCUUUGAGCUAGCUGCUUUAUUUUUGCUGGGGAGGAAAACUGUUUUGCUUUAUCAACCACGCUAUGUUCAAUGCCUACAUUACAGUUUCUUAGGCGAAACGUCAAAUUUGCGUCACGUUACGAAAGCAAAUCGGGGCUAUCGGCGCCAUUUUGUAAGCGUCGCGCGUACGUCACGCUUCGAAGAAAAUGGCGGAAUGUCCAGAAUAGCGGCUCA